rnacentral:rRNA from 1 species
CCAGACUCAUACGGGAGGCAGCAGUGAGGAAUAUUGGUCAAUGGGCGAGAGCCUGAACCAGCCAAGUAGCGUGCAGGAAGACGGCCCUAUGGGUUGUAAACUGCUUUUAUGCGGGGAUAAAGUGAGGGACGUGUCCUUCAUUGCAGGUACCGCAUGAAUAAGGACCGGCUAAUUCCGUGCCAGCAGCCGCGGUAAUACGGAAGGUCCGGGCGUUAUCCGGAUUUAUUGGGUUUAAAGGGAGCGUAGGCCGUGGAUUAAGCGUGUUGUGAAAUGCAGGUGCUCAACGUCUGCACUGCAGCGCGAACUGGUCCACUUGAGUGUGCGCAACGCAGGCGGAAUUCGUCGUGUAGCGGUGAAAUGCUUAGAUAUGACGAAGAACUCCGAUUGCGAAGGCAGCUUGCGGGAGCACAACUGACGCUGAAGCUCGAAAGUGCGGGUAUCGAACAGGAUUAGAUACCCUGGUAGUCCGCACGGUAAACGAUGGAUGCCCGUUGUCAGGCUGUUUCAGUCUGGUGACCAAGCGAAAGCAUUAAGCAUCCCACCUGGGGAGUACGCCGGCAACGGUGAAACUCAAAGGAAUUGACGGGGGCCCGCACAAG